rnacentral:sRNA from 1 species
AUUCUGAUAUUAUGCUGCUGGCUAGAAACAAUAGCUUAUUUUUCCCUCAACAACUAGUAAAGUUCAUUUUAUAAAACACAAAAGCUAGAAGAAAUGGAAAACUGCAGAUGAUUCUACCAGCCAGGGCUCAUCACGGAUUCGGAAACUUCAGAUACGAAAUAUCCCGCCUCAUUUACAGUGGGAGCUCUUAGAAGCUAAGGACACCUGAAUUUGGUUUAUAUUGAUGAGACGUACAUCUGCAGUUGGUAUUAUAAUAAACUUAUAGUUACUGUUCUAACAGCCUCUCCAUUUGGAUAACAUGCAUAGUAUAAUAAUACAGCUACAGGAAAGAUGGUGCUGGAUAGUUUACUAGUCCAGUAUGGAGUGGUGGAGAGCUGUGAGCAAGUGAACACUGACUCGGAAACUGCAGUUGUAAAUGUAACCUAUUCCAGUAAGGACCAAGCUAGACAAGCACUAGACAAACUGAAUGGAUUUCAGUUAGAGAAUUUCACCUUGAAAGUAGCCUAUAUCCCUGAUGAAAUGGCCGCCCAGCAAAACCCCUUGCAGCAGCCCCGAG